UCUGGGUUGGUGCCCUGCUCCAGGGGAAAGGUAUGUGAUAUGCAAAAGACGACAAACCAUGAAAUAUAAUCCAACACUUCGGACUUCAGGGAUUCUGAAAAUGAGCAACUAUUUAGGAGCAGCAAAAAACCCAUCAUUUCUCUAAAGAACAUGGUAAAUUUCUUUUGAAAUAGGAAAUAUGCAAACACGUACUUUCUCCGCUCCACAAAGGGAUUGCAAAUCUUUGUCUGCUCAAAUCUGCGUUUAAGAAACUCGAAGGGUUUUCUCUUUAGAGGAAAUAAAUACAACACUGGCUAGAUCCCAAGGUCAGGGGAAUGCCCAGAACGUCUUGGCCACCGGCCGGCGUCCUCUGCGUCCCCACACGGAGCCCCGCCCUCCCCGCACCGUGUGUCUCUUAUCUCAGAAGCGGAACUGCGCGUGCGCCGCCGGCGGUUGCGUUACGUAUGUUUUCGCGCCGUGGGCUUCGGGGCUGGCCCGAUACCAGGUACAACCAACCAGACGCGGAGGGCAAGUUGGGAUUCUAAGGAAGUUGCUCGGCUCCUGCGCAUUACUGGCCUUUCCGGCCUCACGGGAUGGUCCAGAGCCGCUGGACCUCAGCUAGCCGGUCUUCGCCUGGAGGCUCCCGCCGCCGUCGCUGCCUCUUCUCCGCCGCUUCGGACUCGGCCACCGGCGCAGCGAAGCGCCUGCUCUGACAGCCCCGGCUCAGUACUCCGCGCCCGCCGGGAGGCUGCUUUCGGGACAGCCAGGAUAAGGAAAUUGCUUCAUCUGUGAUCUUGUUACCUGAAAGAAGAAGCCUGUGGAGCUGGGUGAAGAAUGCAGAUACCCUCAGGUCCCAGGUGUGGCACAGGGAGAACUGGUCCAGUCUAGGCAGCUGGGAACCUAUCUUGCAUAUCCAUAAAUCACAAAUAAGGAUUUCAACUGUUGCCUGGCCGUGUGGAUCAAACAUUACUUCCCUGCCUCCAGACUGCCUAGUGGUACUGCUUCCACUCUUACCUUAACUGGUUUCUUGGGCUCAGAGAGGACAUUCACUUAACUUCUAUAAUCUGGAGCCAGGAAAUGGUGAGUACUACAGAGAACUGGGUAAUUCUUAGCGUAAGGAGGCGAGGCUAAAUAUGAUAUGGUGGGGGAUCAGCUGUGUACUCCAGGCUGUUUCUUCUGAGGUCAAAGGUGGUAGAAGAGGCCAAGUGACUAAAUCCUAAGAGGCAUCCUAAGGCCCUGCUCCACUGUCACAGGGCCUUUACACAAUUUUUAAGCCUUGGAUGCCUGGGGUCACCUUCCAUAUAUGACUCUCAGAGCAGAGCCUGAAGAUGAGCAGCUCUGGCUGAGGAGGCUGAGCCCCAGGCCCUCCAGAGCCAUCCUGUGUCAUCACUGCAAAGUGUUCUUAGCUUCCCUGAGGCACUGCAGCCUUUUCUGUGCAAUUCUAAAACAGCAGCUUCAUCUCUCACACUGUGUUGGGUAAAGAAAGGGAGAGAGAUUUGCAACACAGGGAUUAUCAAGUUAAUUAACUUUUGCUUUGUAAUGGGUAUGAAAUGGUAUCUUAACUGAAUUUUAUUCUGCAGUUACCUUACACUACUACAGUACUGACAGGGCUGUACAUAGUCUUGCAAUGUUAUUUCAUCUUUCUGUGACUAUUUUGGGCUUCUUUAUAGAGUCUGGAAAUAAACUGUUGUUUUCGUUGUUAGGUGCCAUUGAGUCA